AAUACACGAAUAACUCGCACGGCUUGUGGGCGUGUACUUGAACCUGAUGUCAAUCGUGUGGAAAGUACAGCCCACUAGUUCAUUUCAGUUCAGGGAAGAGAGCGUCACCCGCUACAGGGAAACAACCACGCUCGGAAACACAAAUCAAGAGUAAACAUCGGCACUGCUUUUAAUCACUGGAGACAACUGAUGGACCUGAAAGAAAUGAGGUUCGACUCCGAUCUUGCAACAUUUAUUUUGGAUUGAGGUAUAAUGUAAGAGAAAUGAAUGCAUUGCAGAAGAUCUGUGGAGCAUCACAAACUACAGGAGAAUUAAACAUCAAGAAAAAUGGCAAACAAAGAAGACAAGGGACAAUCUGAUCAAUCAAGAAAGAAAAAGUACUUGAGAUUAAUCAGACGGAGCAGCAUUAAUAGCGGCAAACCAAACUUUUCUCGUGAUUCAGACAGACCAGCAACGAUUUAUUCUGAUGAUUCAGAGACACUUAGAAAUGAGGUGGGAUUUUAAUCAUAUAUGCAGAUACCAAAUGUAAAAUUGAUGCUGAAAUCUGAUAUUAUACUGAGAGUUAUGUGCAUUGCAUGAUUUUUCUUUAGAAAGCUUUUUAGUUCCUUGUAAUAAAGCUCAUAUGGGAGGAAGAAAGUGACCAGGGUUGGUGCUAGUAGACUUGGUUAAUAUUUUAACCAGCGUGUUUACAAAAUGAUAAAGGCACGCUUACAAUUUCUCCCUUAUCUCUCCAAGCAGAGCAGAGUUUCCGUCCCAUAUUCUCCAGCCUCUCUUUUAACUGGUUUCUCCAGGCCAAUUACUGCAAGCAGACACAGGUGUUCAUCAUUUUAUACUUAACCCACUUACUCAACGUGUGAUAUCCUUCAUGUGGUGGAGCCAUUGCAGGGGCGCGUGGUCCGAACAGAGGGUGAAUUCCUGCCCCCAUGAGAUAAUUGCGGAGGAUCAUGCCAUAGUAAAGCUUCCUCAGAGCUGCCGAGGAGAUUCACUUCAGUUCAUCACAUGACCAUGAAAAAAAGAGAAAAUAGGUAUUGUCAGAAGAUCUGUGCAGCUUCACAAUCUGGAGGAGAAUUAAACAGAGAAAGCAAAAAAUACCAAAGAAAGAGGACGAGAGACAAUCUACUGAACCAGGAGAAAAAACGAGUCUGAGACGAAUCAGAUGCAACAGCAUUAACAGGCCGCCGCACCUGUUCCUCUGGGUGUAACGGGACACAGGAGCAGCAGGCGCUGGAGCAGGAGGAGCUGGGUCUGCACCGGAUGUCGAAGCACCAGAAGAGGGAAUCAGCAGUGACACAGUCAUGUCUGGGUUAAGGACUAGUCUGUCUAACAGUGACCCAGGUGCUGAAAUGGGCUGCUGAAAAAGUCUUGCUGCUGUGGGGCCGGGAGUGAUCGGACACUCCCUGGUGGCAGCAACGGGACGUCGACCCGGUCGCAGAAGAGGAGCCUUUCCUUGUCGAUUUGGCGGAAGGAUACAUUUAUGUUUUGCAUCCUAUUUUUCUCUUGGCGGAGGAAGCUGCAUAUCAGCCACGUCAAUUGGGUCAGGUGGAGUCAGUCCCUGGGCGAGGACACUCAUUUCCUGAUUCUUCUGCUGCUGUUGAGACCUGAAAGUAAAUUACUUGUAAUAUGUGUGUGUGUGUGUGUGUGUGUGUGUGUGUACAGAAGUAUUCCGUUCAUUGGAAGCAAAUAAUGUGCCUUGUGUACCGCUGAAUGAGUGUCCUCUGGUUCAGCUCAAACAGCUGGAUCAUUGUUAAUCAGCCUUCGACUGUUAAGCACCAGCUCUCGGGUGUGGUGUUAAUCUG